rnacentral:rRNA from 1 species
CCUACGGGAGGCAGCAGUGGGGAAUAUUGGACAAUGGGGGCAACCCUGAUCCAGCCAUGCCGCGUGUGUGAAGAAGGCCCUCGGGUUGUAAAGCACUUUCAGUGAGGAAGAACGCCUGGUGGUUAAUACCCAUCAGGAAAGACAUCACUCACAGAAGAAGCACCGGCUAACUCCGUGCCAGCAGCCGCGGUAAUACGGAGGGUGCGAGCGUUAAUCGGAAUUACUGGGCGUAAAGCGCGCGUAGGUGGCUUGAUAAGCCGGUUGUGAAAGCCCCGGGCUCAACCUGGGAACUGCAUCCGGAACUGUCAAGCUAGAGUGCAGGAGAGGAAGGUAGAAUUCCCGGUGUAGCGGUGAAAUGCGUAGAGAUCGGGAGGAAUACCAGUGGCGAAAGCGGCCUUCUGGACUGACACUGACACUGAGGUGCGAAAGCGUGGGUAGCAAACAGGAUUAGAUACCCCUGUAGUC